UUGGUGCACCGGAAGCAUUCCUUUUAUUGUAGCAGGGUCUGUCUGCUGUUUCAGCUUUGCUGUGUUUUAUGAAAUAACUGCUUUGAGGUUUUUUUGUACUUACAGUUUGUGCCUGCUGCCUGGUUUUAUCUCUAGUAACAAGCUGUCUAUCUCUCUUGGUGUUCUUGGUGACUAUGAUAAGGGAAACAUGGUUGUUACGGCUGCAUUUUUCCCAGGGAGUCCUUGCUUAACCACUGGGUCCUAAAUAUGGUUGACUUCUUUCCUCUCCUUUCAAUGUAAAUUCAGCAUCAAUUUUCUACAAAGUUUAAUGAGUACUUUCUUGCUUUUCAUAACCAGACUAAAGAGCACAAAAUCAGAGAUAUUUCCAAACUAUGAUAUUUCAGACUAGUAUUCUUUAAAAAUUGUCAUCCGCUGCUUAAACUAUUUUCAGAUUAAACUAUUUUCAGAUUAAAUUUUGUUUUAUUAAGUGAUUCACUGUUCUUGAUCAGUAUUUUCUGCUGACCAUGAAGGAUUAGACAGACAGACAAUAGAAAGAUAAUUUUAGACUUAAUAAAGUUCUUUGCUUAAGUUAUACGAGGAACAGAAUCGGCAAAAUAGAGUUGCAGAAUCAGUUAUUGUUAAUAUAAGCUUUCUUUUUUUUAUCGGGCAGUUAAAGAAAAAAGGAUCUGCUUGAUCCUUUUUUUGUUUGUUUAAUCAAAAAUAGAAAUAAUCAGGAAUAGAUUUGUAGGAAUAUAAAUAUACUUAGAGUGUAUAACUAUUGAAACAUUUGUCUAUUAAAGCUGUACAGUCAAUUCCAAUUUUUUUUUAAAAAAAUGCUUCAGAUUGUGGGGAGGCAUGAAAACAGCACUUGUCUACAUCUUUUUAAAGCAGUUCUGUAUUUUCCCUUGAUGAUGUAGCUGUAACCUGUAAAAUAAAAAAGAACCACAGAAGGGCCCUUUAUCUUCUGUCCACCUUUCCAAUGACUCUUGGGCUGAAUAAUAAAAAUACUGGCUAGUUUUUACCAACUGUCUCAUUCUAUAAAGCAGAUUAUAUGGGAGUGAUUAUAUUCAGUCUACUGAGGCCUCUUAGCAUGAGAUUAGUGCUUUAGAUGAUGUCAGUCCUUUGAGGGUAGACCAGGUCAGGAAGCAGCACCGCAAAAAAAAAAAAUGCUAGAAAUCCACUUUAUUGAAAUUGGCUACAAUAACAGAAUCUUGAAAACCUGACAGCAUUUCUCUUUUCCUCCCUUUUAUACCAAAGAGAGUCAAGGGGGGCAAUUUUGAGUUUAUUUCUCACACUUUCUGAUUUUCCAGGACUAAGCUCAUGUUUUCCUAAUGAUUCCCAUCUAUUUUCUUCAACUACAUCUCCAUACUUCUCUAUAGGUAGCACUGUUGUACCAUAUCAAAGAAAAAUUGGGGUUUUUGCAACAAGGGUGAAAGAAACAAUGACACUGAUAAUAUGCUUGUUAUACCUUAUUCAAGAUGCAUAUGGAAUGGAUGAGUUUGUAAUCUUCAUGUUUUGUAUGUAAAUUGCAUAUGUGCAGAAUGAUAACUUUUGAUAAAUUUCUUUCUUGAAGGCAAAAGAUCUUAAACUAACAUCAGUAAUGCCAUGUGUGUCUCUAGUAGCAUUAUUUAUUGCUACUUUGUAUAUGUGUAGACAACAACAAAUUAACACUUGACAUGAGCAAGGUAAGAGCUGAAAUCCCAUGAAAAGAUAAUUUAUGAAACUCACAGAAGGAACUUUCUUAUACUGUAUUCCCUGGUGGUAGCUUCUGUGGAAUAUCAGAAUGCUUUCCAAAGAAUGGGAAUAGGGCACAGAGAGCUGCUAGUAGAGUGGAGAUCGUCCCAAAUAGGGUCAUAACAGAUUUUUCUCUCUUCCCUUUGAAGAGUGCUUUUAUUCAUACUGAAUGAAAAGCUAGGUAACUUUUAAUACAGCAUAUGAAGCCAUAGAUAAAAACAAGGUUGGUACUUGCUUAAAUUGAACUCUAUUUAACAAUCUUUUGAUUCAAGUUAAUGUAGGUAGUAUGGUAAUUAUACCUCUGAAAAAGAAAGGGAAAGUGGAGUUCAUGAGUCUGUGUAGAUCACCUAAUUUCUUCCUGAUGUUGAAAUAAUUUAAAAAUGUUACAUCUUUACCAAGACCAGAGUUCAUUUUGACUUGGAUGUAGUUGUCAAUAGACUGGAGUAGUGUUUUAGUGAACAGGCUUAAAAGAGGAAGCUGAAACAAAAUAUUAUAGUGCAUUACUUGAAUCUGUAGCUAAAAGAGCUAAACAAAAAUAAAGCAAUUUGUAUUCUAACUUAGGUCUUUAUUUCAUGAACCUUACUACUUUAGCUGAAUGGUGGAUAUUUAAAAGUGUACCCAGUCUGCAUGCAAAUCCAGGAGGCAUUGAGCUUCUGCAAACAACUCAGUUGAAAAUUAGUCAGAAAAAAGGACUACAAAGCAAAUUUAAGUAGACUGGUAUUUGUUUCAGCCUGAGAAGUAUUGGGAUAUUGGAUGGAAAUCCAAAUCAAUAUAAUUCUAUCUCUGUCUUUCAGUAUUAAUAAUGGAUUAUAUUGUAGGUAUACUAUAAGUUAUUUUGUGCAGCAGGAAUAGUAACAGUAAAUUAUCUUCAUGGUUGCUGUUUACACUCUCAGCCCAAAGUACAGUGUGGGAAUAAAGGUGGUACAUAAACACUACAGAAUUCUUAGAAGCUACUCUUUCAAAUUUAUACCAACCUGCAAUACAAGUUCAAUACUUUGGAAAAUACUACAGACUAUCUCUACAACAUUCAGAAUCUGACUUGUACUCUUCAGUAUGAACAAUGUUUUAAGGCUGUUCAUAGGUAUCUCAUUAUCCCAGACAUAGGCUUUUCCUGACUAUCACCUGGGGCAAUGAAUUGCAUUUGUAUUAAAAAAAAUGAAUUAGAAAGUACAGGAACCAUCUUCUUUGCUAUUGUUCUUGUAUGAGGGUUGGAGUUAGUGUAUCUUCUGAUACUGAGUUCCAUCUAUUUUAAAAUCUUAGUUUUAUUCAUUGAUUUUGAUGGACAGCUCAGAAUCAUUCCCUGGAGACUUUUAACUCCCUGAGAUUAUGUGUCUCCAGGAGUAAAAAAAAUAAAUAAAUAUACGUAAAUCUUCUGGUAGCUAAAGUGUCUUAAGCAAAAGCUAAUAGUAGCUAGUGCUUGUGUUUGCCUGAAAAAAAAAAAAACCAAGCUGCCUUUCCAUAAUUAUUUUAUGAAGAUUGCCUUUCCCCAAUUUCAGAAAGUCAUGUUUCCAUUUGGCAAUAUGAUAACUGCUGAAGUUUUCUUAGAAUUUAGGUUCUUGCUUUAUACCACAUUUUAUUCAAACAAAGCAGUGAUGGAUCAUUCAGAGAUGCUAUGAUGCCAAGGUGGCAUUUUUUUAACAUUAACAGAUUAUAUUAUGAUAGCAGAAUGUUCACCUAUUAAUCUCAAGAUUUAGCUCUGUCUCUUGUGGCCUGAACGGAAACAAAGGCUUUUCAUUAAUACACACACAAAUCACACACAGACACACAUAAAUAUAUCCCAGAUCAUUUCGUAAAUGACCACUGAUAAUAAGGUAGUUACCUCUUUUCAUUUUUUUUACCUUACCCUUAAUGUUUUUCUUUCACAUACACAACCACAAUUAUCUAUAAGCUACAUGUGAACACAAACUUGCAAGUAAGGUGCAAGCCAUUAAAGCAAUGCACAGCUUGUAUCCCCAUUCAGAAAUGAGUCAAAUGGUGCUAUUUACUGGCUCCUUUGCAUUAAUUUCUUUGCCAUUUCCUUGCAUCUUCUUUUCAUAGGAUGGCUAUGAAAAGUUUACUAAUACUACUUCAUGCUGAUGAUCAUAAAUCAGACAUCAGUCAGCCUCAGAGAGCAUUGAGGACCCUUGCUUAGUAUUGUACUGAUUAUCAUUGUGUGAUUAAUUAUCAGAAGACAAAGAUUGUCAUGUUGAAUAAUUGGAGCAUCAAGGUACAAUAAUUUAGCAGAUUAAAUGUUUUAAAAACCUGGAGGUUUUAUUUUCUGCCUCAGGUAAGAAGAGGGCCCAAGUUGAAAAUGCAGUACAAAUAGCACAAAGAAACAUUGGAGGAUUUAAAGUUCUUCCACUAAAGAAAAAUGCUGCUAUUAGGUUAUUUGAGACUUUUAUUGUAUUUUAUUGAUUCAGGUUAAAUAUGGAGCUCAUACCAUACCCUAAUUACACCUGUCUGGAAACAGUGUUACAUAAGUUCCUGAGGGUAGUGUUUCAAAUUUCCAAGUAGUAAUGCUGCCUUCCAGUUGGAAGUAGAAACUCUUACUUGGCUAGUGAUCUUCAACCUCUGGCAACAGCUAACUUCUGUACUCAGAUCUGGCCGCUUUAAUAAUACCUGAUACAUUUAAUUCACCAUGGAAGAGUAACAUAUUUGAUGAAUGGCCUUUCCCUAGAACUUUUGCUGCCCAUGUACCACAGUUAAACCAGGAUGCUUCUUAAACACCAAGUCCUGGAUAGUGAAUGACCAACUGAGGUGGCCCUCACCUCCAACAUUAGGUCCUGGUAGCAGAGUCCUAGUCAGCAGCUAUUUAAUAGUUAGCUGGAACAAUUUAACCAUUGUAGCAGCUGCUCUCAGGCUUGAUUUAAGGUCUUUCCACCUGCUGUGCUGGAAAGCUAAUUUACUGAGAUACCCUAUGAGGAGCUUACUGCCCUUGGGAAGGUUAUUUGCUAGGACCCUCUAUGAGGAACUAUUUCAGAGGCUCUGGAAACAGUUGGUAUGUCUUGCUGAUUGUGAAUUCUGUAUGGAUCUACAUAAUAAGCUAAUUUCUCCCCUUUAGUAAACUUUCCAGGUGACCAGAUGAAUCCCUUCUCACCUUUCUAUUUUGGGAAUGGCAGCCUGCUACUACCUGUAAUGUAACUAAAUUUUGUGCAGCCCCACAUAGAGUCUAGCAACAGAAAAUAAGGAGACAUUGCUAUAUCUGGUAAUCCUGGUUCCCUCUCCAGCCUUGGUCCAUAAUCUUCUAUUACUCUUCAUCAUAUUAUUUUGCUAUGCAUUGCGUUAUUUAUAAUGUACUGUAGUAUUAUAUCACUUCACUGUCUUGUCUUUUUUGUUCUUCUAGGGUAUUUUAACCUCCUGGCCUUUGGCAAUAGUAAAAUAGUAAAGUAAUAGUAAAAGUAAAGAAUAGUAAACAAUUCAUUUAUUAUAAGGUUAAAGGUAUUUAUAAAUAUCUGAAGCUAAAUAGUCUCCAUGUAUGAAUGAUCAAAAAGUCGUUAUUAACUUCUUUAUUCAAAUUUGGCAUGUUGGAUGCCAAAGUAUUUUGUUUGAUGAACAAGACACAAGAGUGUAAACUUUCCAAAAAGGUUUCUUCUUAAAGCACCCAGUUCUCUCAUUGAUCAGCCUUGGUUUGAUUAUAGAAAGCUUGCGCAAGGCAAAGGUAGGGGAGAUGUCCUCUCAGUGGUUGACUGGACUGUAGCAUUCACAGCACUAAGUGUGCUUUAUACAACUAGGUUGCCUAUCAUGAAAGGUCUGUUGUGAAAUUAUUAUUUUAUUUAUUUUAUUUAUUAUCCCGCCUUCAUUAUUUUUAUAAAUAACUCAAGGUGGGGAACAUCCUUAUUACUCCUUCCUCCUCCUAUUUUCCCCUCCACAGCAACCCUGUGAGGGGAGUUGGACUGAGAGAGAGUGAUUGGCCCAAGGUCACCUAGUUGGCUUUCAUGCCUAAGGCGGGACUAGAACUUUCAGUCUCCUGGUUUCUAGCCUGGAGCCUUAAUCACUAGACCAAAUUGGCUCUCUCUAAAUUAUGCUUGAAAACUGAAUACUCUGUUUUCAAGUUUCCAAGUUCUGUGCAAUUUGUUAUCAGAGGUAAUUCAAAAUAUAUAAUUAUUGCAGACAGACCACAUAUACUGUUCUUAUCACUGUAACAUACUUGUUGGGUAUAACUGAUCCAGAUGUCUUCUAAGCAAUUAUAUUUUGUAUUAAGAAAGGAUAGCUAUUUGAUGAAAAUACAUUUUUUACACCUGAUUUGACUGGUAUAUUUAACCAAAAAUUUAUUCAUUACAGAAAAUAUUCUGUUAGUGAUUGGGUAAACGUGUUUUUUAACAUACAUCAGGAAAUCUCUUUUCAAUUUUUUCAGAAAGUUCUCAUUCUCUUCAUUAUGUGUGCAUUUCCAUUCUGAUUGCUUAUUUUUCACACAGCAGGAAAUGGAAGGAAAGAAAUGGACAAUAGAGAAAUUAUCCUCAACCUCCCAGGACCCCAAAUGAUCAAACAUUAAAACAAAAACUCCCCUUUCCUACCAUUUCAUCAGCAUUAUAACUGGGAUAAGAGAUCUUAAGUUAGACCGCCUCAUAUGCUGCAGUCCCCUGCUCCUAAUAUUGCAGUU